rnacentral:tRNA from 1 species
GGAUAUAGCUCAGCAGCAGAGCACCUGCCUGGUAAGCACAAGGUUCUGAUUUCAAUUAUUAGUACCA